GUAUCAGUAUUAUUUGCAAUUAAAGAAAGAUAUCUUGGAGGGCAACAUUCCUUGCACACUGGAACAAGGAAUACAUCUGGCUGGUUUAGCUGUUCAGGCUGAUUUUGGAGACUAUGAUCAGUAUGAAUCUCAGGAGUUUCUGCAAAGAUUUGCUUUGUUUCCAGUGGGUUGGCUACAAGAAGAAAAAAUACUG